GGCUGCGAACAGGAGAAAUUGCUUCAGUCACUCACCUGUCACUUUGGUUGCGUCACCCUUUGGUGAAGAAUCAAAAGAUUUAUCAUUUCCGUGAUCGGGUGUUAUACAGAUGCGUGUGUCGAUGGGUGAAGCAUAACACGUGCGGAUCUUGGAAUGCUGCGAUCUUCCGACAGCACCGUAACUUGGUGUUCUCGAUAUGUCUUGGAACAUUUCUCGCGUUCUCUGUACUUACAUAAAAAAAUAAUAAUAAUAAUAACUUUUG